UACAUUUUUAACUGUUAAAUUUAACAAUCAUUUUUAUUAAUUCCCGAAAGCUUAAUCACAUUGGGGAAAUUGUUAUAUUCCCUAACGUCAGAAUUAAUCAGCUGAAGCUGAUUGGAAGCUUGCCCUCUCCCACACCCAAUGUCACCAUCUUUGUACCUUGUUUACUUUUUUUUUCUUUCUUCAGUAUUGGGGUUUGAACUUACAGCCUCCCACUUGCUAAGCAGGCGCUCUACCACUUGAGCCAUGCCUCCUGCCCUUUCCUUGUUUACUUCUUAUCUACUAGAACUGUUCCACACUACUGGUCAUGUGGUUCCUGAAACCUGUCUACUGAACAUGCACCCCAACCAUUUUAUUACCAUAAUACCUUUGUUUCUAAUGCUACUACUUAUAUUGUGGGGAAACAUUCAUUAAACAACUUCAUAUACAUGCUGGGGGAAGGAGGGCAUGGAGACAGGUCCAGGCUGCCCUUAAAAUCAUGAUCCUCCUGCCAGCACCACCAUGCCUGGUUCAAGUGCUUUUUAAGAAUGCAUCAAGUAUUUUUAUUUUAAUGGUAUUUUAUACAUCUAAAGAUAAUGUAUUCUAGUGUUCUGUUGGCUAAGUGUGCUGUUUAAGAAUAAUACUUAUUUGAGACUGUUACGUGAUAAAGAUGCAGAGCAAAGCCGCACUGGCCCCCUCAGGACGAUGGCUCCCUUUGUGCGGCGGCAUUUCGAACAUUGUGGAUGGCCAGGGGUUCUCAUCUCCCGUCUUUUCUGUUGUACUUUCGGCCUUGUACAGCUGUGACCUCUUACUACUUCUGCAGCUUACAGUCAACUUAUUUCUUUGACCUGUCUGCAUAUUCACUAUAUAAUUUGAUAAGAAGAAAAAAUUUUCUUCCACAUGCAUCACCUCAGUUUGCUUUUUUCUGCUUCCAUUUCCUGAAGCAGAAGCAGGAGGACUGUGGGGCCACACCUCUUGUCACAAGCUAGAGUUCUGUCCUGCUGGAGCCCAGCAUUGGCCUUGGCCAUGCAGAUAGCUUAGGUCUGCACUUGACCUCGGAGGCCAUUUGGACUCACUUCAUCCCUACUCUUUCUCGAAGAAUCAGCUCAUAAAGAUGUAGGAGAAAGGUUUUCUUCUGUUCUCAUACACACGGUACAACAUGGAGCACUUCUGCAGUCAGAUGUGUGGAGCUUUUUCCUUACUCACCAAGCGAGUGAUUCUGCCGUGAGUUCUCCAUUCAGUUCUGAUGUUCUCUGCCUGGGAAUAGUUACUGAAAGCUGAGGGCCUCUUGCCACAUGACUACUCCCCAUUUCAGGUGCUAGUUGCAAGCAUUGUGUUCUCAGCUGUACUUCUGAGUGACUGGUACGUAAGUUGGAGGCCUCACCGGGUGGAAUUCAUUUGCUAGAAUGGCUCACAGAACUCAGGGAACUGCUCACUUGUAUUUACCUAUUUAUUCUGAAGUAUAUUACCCAGAGUACAGAUGAAGAGCCAGAUAAAGAAGUGGAUGGUUGUGGAGCUUCAGCCCUCCCAGAGCCUUUGUGGUUUAGGUAUCAGAAGCCCAUCUAGCCCUGUCCUUUUGUGUUUUCAUUGAGACUUCAUUGUGAGGGCAUGAUUGAUGAAACGCAGCAUUUAGUCCCUCUCACCUUCCUGAAGAUUUGAGGGUGUGGGUUGAAGGACCCAACUCUAAUCAUGGCUUAGUCUUUCCUGUGAUCAGCCCCUGUCCUGAAGUUACCUGUGGGCAGCCAGACAUCAGUUGAAACAUGAGCAUACAGAAGACACUGUUAAUAAUCCAGAGAUCCCAAGAGUUUUAGGAGCUGUAUGUCUGGAACCAGAGAGGAAGACCAAGUACUUAUUUCACAGUGUCCCAGCUCCCAGCAGCUACUUGCCCAGUGUCUUCGGCCCUCACUGGCAAUCCCUGUUUCACGUAGCAUUGGGUAGCAUCACAUUCUACUGAGGUUCUCUUCUGCUGGGGCCUCCGCAGUUGUUCUUUUCUGAAGCUUUGUAGGAUUGUAUGUAUUUUCAUGAUAUUUUGUAAAAGUAUUAAAAACAGUAGGUUAGUAACAAUUAUAAAAAUAGAUAAAGUACAGGUUUAAAGUAGUAGGGGAAGAGAUGGUGAAAAACCUUGAGAUUUGUCCAGAUUGGAAAGAAUCUUACUGAGCAGCCUUGACUUGAUAUCAGGGUGUUUCAAGUGGACAGUGCAGUAGUCUGAUAGAAGAAGGUGCACAGAGUGCCAGAGAAACCUACAGGGAGGGGCAUUUGAGCAGUGCUUUAAAAGACAACUAGUAACAAGCUAGCCAGGCAUCCCAGGUGGAGCCUCAGCUUGCACAGGUGCAGAGUCUCGAGUGGGUGGGAGGCGCUUUAAGUAUUUUGGGGCCAGAACACAGAGCACCUGUCUGACGGUAGAGAAAAGAUUAGAUAGGUGGUUACCAGGUGCCUCUUGUGCUACACUGAAAGUGUACUCCAUGUUUAUCUUAAACGUAGAGAAAACAGUUGUACAAUUUUAAAUAGGAUAAUAGCAUGACUGUGUUUACAUUUUAGAAAGAUUACCCUAGAGAAAUGUGGAAGAUGCACUGGAGGUUGUCAGAUUGUAUGUACGGAGAUUAACUUGGGGCUUUUGGCUGGGGAGAUGUUGGCAGUAGAAAAGCGUUAGAGAUUUGCAAGCUGUUUAAAUUCAGGAGACAACUGGACAUAGGCUGUUAGAAAGAGGGACAUCUGGGAUGAUUUCUGGGCACCUUUUUGACUGAUUUGGUGAAUGGAGACCUUACUAACUGAGAUAGAAUCUGGAAGGAUUAGGGAGUUGUUGGUUUGAACAUGACAAAGUAUGUAGGUGUAGAUGUCUAACAGGCUCUUUGGGCAUAGUUCAGAGAGAAGUUUGGGUUUGAGGUACACAUGUGGACAUUAUUUGUAUUACAGGUGGUAACAAUUGUGAAUGGGAUUGAGACCUCGUCUACAGUUUUUAUUAAGAGAAGAAGGCUGAGAAAUUGCCAGAGGAAGAUGGAAAGGCAGGAAAGACAAGGGACCAAGCAAGGAAAUGCAGAGGGGAAUGCCAAGGAGGAGUAAUGUCUCUAAUCUUAGAGGAAGUGUGUUUAAUGGGGACUCAGGAUUGCCCCCUGGCUAUGGGACAGGAUUAUAAUGUUGUUGUAAGGAGCAAGCAGUCUUGUUGGGUUGCAGGUGAAUGGGGGUGGGUGACAAGGAUUUAACUCUAGUCUGUAAGGGGAGGCCAGCCUAAAGCCAAGCCUGGGGAGAGUUUUGAUGGGAGAGAUUUAAGAUUAGAGAGAUAGUGGAUUGAAUGGGUAACAAAAUUGUUCCAUUUCACUUGCAGGAGCUUGAGCUGCCCUUGGGAACCACUCAGGUUAACUUGACAUUAUAUCACUUUAUUAUUGACUGCAGUUUUUUUUUCAGGUAAAAUUCAGUAGAUAUGAUUUGUAUCAUUAAAUUCACUUCCUCACUGUGGACACUCAUAUUUCUGUUAUUUUUUUCCUCCACAAAAUGUGCUGGAAAGCACAUCUUGAAUUGGUCCUGUCCUUUCAAGUUCCUUUGUCUCCUCCCCACCCCCCAAAUGCUAGCUCAGGUACAGACAGUGUAGUAUGGCCUCUAUGAAAGCCCACUUCUUGCACUUCUGAGAGUGCCUCAGGUGGCAGCUGUGUGCCUGUGCCUCUUCCCAGCCUUGUCAGACUGCUAUCUCAGAAUAAACGUGCUGAAUUCCUUUACAUGUGAGUGAGCAGGAUUCAGAGGGUACCUUAGCAAAUGUGUAGAUUUUUAAAAGAGGUCAAAGAAUGUGCCUCUCUUGGGGAAUUUCACUUGUUAAAAUACUUACAGAAGCGAGUUGGAGAUGAUAUUUUUUAAAAGUCCGUGUUCUGUUUCUAUAUUAAGGUUAGACAAUCUAGCUUCAUAGUCCCAUGGUCAAAAUAGAAUUAAUGGAAAGCAUUCCCCUUCAUAGAAUACCUCCUAUAAUCAGUCACUUUUGGAAUAGGUUAUAAAAAUGAAAUCUGUAUAUUGUAAGUUACAAAAUGCUUAUUAAAAUAAUAGUCUCCUUCUGAGUUCAGUCGAGAAAGUCUAAUUUUGAGUUCUGUGACUGGCUGCAUCUUGCUAGUCACACUUUUGGGCGGGUUCUCAUAGCUGCUUUUCUAGGAAGAGUGGAACCCACUCCUAGUGCUUCUUAUUAAGCAGUGUAGGCCAUGGCUGACGCCUCAGCAACAAGUUGAGCUGCUGCUUUCUUGUUUAAGCAGAUGUCAACUUCUUUGAAUGAGAUUGCCAUUCUAGUUCUAAAGUGGCCCAUAAAGGGCCUUAGGCUUUUAUGCAAGCGUGCAUAAAUUUUUUCAUCUUGAAAUUUGUAUGACCCAAACACCUUGUAAAAGACUUUAGGCACUCAGAUUAUGAAAUCAGAACUGUGAUUCCAUUAAUACAACAAAAAAUCUUUAUGAAAAUAAUUCAGUAAUUCAGGAACUUUAAAGAUGUUGCACAUUCAUGCAGUGGAACACUGUACAAUUAUUAGUGGAGUUUUUGAAGAAUGACAAAAUGCUUGUAUUCUGUUAAUGGUAAAAGGGAUAUAAAAUCUGUACACUAUCCCUUUAACCAUGUAUUUAUAGAAAAAGUCUGAAAUGAAUUACAUAGUGAAGUAAUGAUCUAAGUGAAGAAGUGUGAAUUUUUCUAUUUCAGCUAAUCUUCCAGUGCCAACGAUCGCAGCGAUAGAUGGACUUGCUUUAGGUGGUGGUCUUGAACUGGCUUUAGCGUGCGAUAUACGAGUAGCAGCUUCCUCUGCAAAAAUGGGCCUGGUUGAAACAAGGCUGGCAAUUAUUCCUGGUGGAGGUAUGAGUUGUUCCCUUCCAUCUCUCAAUACCCUUGAUUUUUUUUUUCCCACCAGAUACAGAGUACAGGGUAAAAAUAUGUUAAUGGAAAAAGCAACAUUUGGGUAAACAUACUAAUCCCAUUGUUUGUCUUUCUAGCAAAGUCCCUGUUCAAAGUUCAUUCUUGUUUAGCUUCUAUAGAUGGUUAAAAUGGUGGUUUUGCUGCUAUGGUUUUCUUUUUGUGCUGUCUCCAAUGCUUAUUAUUUUUUAAAGUUUUAAAUUAUUGUAUUGUCCCAUUGGUAUCACUGCUUGAAUCUUUCUUCUUAUAGGAUUACUCAGCUAUUUUUAAACUUUUAUGUGUUCACUUAAAUUUGUGCACCCUCAGCUGAGAGCACAGUCCAACCCUGCAUGGCAAGAGGGAUUGUUACUCAGCUUUGUGUCUCUGUGACAAAAUAGUUGAUAUAAAUAACUUUAAAGAGAGAAAGUAUCUUGCUCACAGUUUCAGUGGUUGGCUGCAUUGCUUUUAGGACUGUGAUGAGGUGGAACAACAUGGUGGGGUGCACGUGACAGAAGAAACUGUUCACCUCCCGGCAGCAGGAGGCAAAGAGUAAAAAGAAGGCCAGGGUCCCAAUAUCCCAUUAAGCUCCAGUGACCUAACUUCUUCCCACUAGGCUCUACCUCCUAAAGGUCCCACGUCUUCCCAGUAGUGCCACUGGCUAGGGAACAAGCUUUCAACAUACGGACUUUGGAAGACAUUCCACAUCCAAACUAUAGCAGCUUCCUGAGCUCUGCCUACCUUGUUUCUGUACAGCAGGACAGAGGUUAGGGUUAGUGGGUACCCUAACUGAAUUUGAUACUUCUGUUUGUAUUUAUCUUUUGUUGUUUCCACUGGAGAGAGGUAAGCUUUUUUUUUUUUUGAAAGUCUUUGAAGAAAGCACUUUCACAACACUCAUAAUGAAACAUUGCACCUCCAAUAAGUCUGAAUUUUAUGUUAUUUUGAUUUAGAGAAUUUGUAGAUAUUUCCAUUUUGUGAGGUCAUUCUUUCAAAAGAUGGACUUCCUUUAAGAAUUAGUACAUUAUGGUAGCUUUUCUUGGUAAUUUUUACAUGUAAAUGACAGUGUAUUAGCGUAUGAAUGUAAUAACAAUGUAAAAGUUUAAGCUAGUGUUGAGCAUGGCAGACAUGCUUACAUAUUGAGAAGGUUAAAAUUGUUUGUUUAGCCUUAUUAUGAGAGCAUUUAUCCUCCUUAGGAUAUGCAGGUAGAAAUAAAAACAUAAGAUUGAAGAUGACCCACAUCAACAUGUGAGACUGUUCUGUUUUGAUUAUUCAUGAAGAUGCUGUCACUGGUCAAAUGCAUUUUCAUAGCUACCUGUUCUACCUUCCCACCUUGUGCACUAACUAAUGAAAGCACUAGAAGGAGGAUUCAUAAGAGAAUGGAUCCACUUGAGAAGAGUUAUCAGAAAACUAAUAAAACUUGAAUUAAAACUUAAACUGAGAAAAGGGUAAGACAGGUUCCUGAUUUUUUGCUGCUGUUGUUUUUGUGGUGCUGGAGAUCAAACCCAGGGCCUUGCGAAUGCUAGGCAAGUACUCCACUACUGAACUACAUCCCCAGCAUUGAAAUUCUUAAGCAUUUAUUGCUAAUUCGAAUAUUUACUAAUCCUAGGAAGAUAGUGGCUCUAGUGGGUUGAAGAUGUAUCAUCCUGGAACCUGUAAUGUGACUGUUAGAGAGAGGAUCAUUGCACAUGUAAUUAAAGGAUCUAGAGAUGAAAUCAUCCUGAGUUAUCUAAGUGAGCCUUAAAUCAAAUGACAAACUAUACUGAUAAGAAAGAGAGAGACAUACAGAAGAGAAGAUACUGGGAAGACGGAGGGGAAUAAUGCAUCUACAAGCCUAGGAAUGCUGAGGCUGACUUGCAACUGCCAGAAGCUGGGGGAGAGAGGCAUCGAACUGAUGCUUGCUCAGAGUCCGGAAGGAACCAGCCCUGCAGACACCUUGAUUGUAAAUUUCUGUUCUCCAAAACUGCAAGAGAAUAAAAUUUCUGUUCAAAGAUAA